AACGAACGCUGGCGGCAUGCCUAACACAUGCAAGUCGAACGAGACCUUCGUGUCUAUUGGCGCACGGGUGCGUAACGCGUGGUAACCUGCCCUUAGGUUCGGAAUAACUCCCCGAAAGGGGUGCUAAUACCGGUUAAUGUCUUCGGACCAAGGAUUUAUCGCCUUUGGAUGGGCCCGCGUUGGAUUAGCUAGUUGGUAGGGUAAAAGCCUACCAAGGCGACGAUCCAUAGCUGGUCUGAGAGGAUGAUCAGCCACGCUGGGACUGAGACACGGCCCAGAAUCGUACGGGAGGGAGCAGUGGGGAGUAUUAGACAAUGGGCGAAAGCCUGAUCCAGCAAUGCCGCGUGAGUGAUGAAGGCCUUAGGGUUGUAAAGCUCUUUUACCCGGGAUGUUAAUGACAGUACCGGGAGAAUAAGCUCCGGCUAACUACGUG
rnacentral:rRNA from 1 species